AGUGAACGCUGGCGGUAGGCCUAACACAUGCCAGUCGAACGGCAGCACAGUAAGAGCUUGCUCUUACGGGUGGCGAGUGGCGGACGGGUGAGGAAUACAUCGGAAUCUACUUUUUCGUGGGGGAUAACGUAGGGAAACUUACGCUAAUACCGCAUACGACCUACGGGUGAAAGCAGGGGAUCUUCGGACCUUGCGCGAUUGAAUGAGCCGAUGUCGGAUUAGCUAGUUGGCGGGGUAAAGGCCCACCAAGGCGACGAUCCGUAGCUGGUCUGAGAGGAUGAUCAGCCACACUGGAACUGAGACACGGUCCAUACUCCUACGGGAGGCAGCAGUGGGGAAUAUUGGACAAUGGGCGCAAGCCUGAUCCAGCCAUACCGCGUGGGUGAAGAAGGCCUUCGGGUUGUAAAGCCCUUUUGUUGGGAAAGAAAAGCAGCAGGUUAAUACCCCGCUGUUCUGACGGUACCCAAAGAAUAAGCACCGGCUAACUUCGUG
rnacentral:rRNA from 1 species